AUACAUCACAAAGAAAACAUCACAUACCGCACUUGGAACUGUUCGUGGAACAUGCAUGUAGCAACUAGUUCAAAAUUCCAGCAUUACAAUGUCAAAAUGAAAACUCUAAAAUUAUAAGAACUACAGAAACUGUGUCGUCUAUCAGAUUUGAAAUUUUGAACUGGUUCCCUAAACUUCAUAUGAUCGGGAUCACACAAAGCACCCUGACUAGCUAAUUUCAGUAGCAGAAGGGAUACUUGCAAAUUGCAACACCACCCAACACCAGGUUCGACAGAAAUAGAAGGUUACUGAAACCAGCACAAAUCUGCCGAGCAGUUUUUCUACAGGAA
rnacentral:lncRNA from 1 species